rnacentral:rRNA from 1 species
UAAGACGAAGGGGGCGAGCGUUAUCCGGAAUGACUGGGCGUAAAGGGUCCGUAGGCAGCAUUUUUUGUUAAUUGUGAAAGAAAAAAGCCCAACUUUUUUUAGCUUUUAAUACAUUAAUGCUUAGAGUUUGAGAGGGGAUAGCAGAGUUUCACAUGGAGGGGUGAUAUCCGUAGAUAUGUGAAGGAAUACCAGAGGCGAAGGCGGCUAUCUAGCUCAAUACUGACGUUGAGGGACGAAAGCAUGGGGAGCAAACAGGAUUAGAUACCCUGGUAGUCCAUGCCCUAAAAGAUGAGUGCUCGUGCUUAGAGAUUUUUAGGCACUUAGUUAACACGUUAAGCACUCCGCCUGGGGAGUACGACCGCAAGGUUGGAACUCAAAGGAAUUGACGGGGGCCUAUACAAGUGGUGGAGCAUGUGGUUUAAUGCGACAAUACGCGCGAAACCUUACCAGUU